GCAGGGUCUCAGCGGGAAGCAGAUGGCACCAGCUAGGGGUUCCAGAGAAGGCAGUCUAAUGAAGAGACCAUUCGUAUACAUACAGACUUGUGAGCAGAGCUAAGGGAGCCAGCACAGGAUGAUGUAGGAUCCAGGGAUCCACACCAGUGGGGAGGCCUUACCACCUGGAGGUCACACAAAAGGCCUAGUCGGCCAUCAACCUCCAUCUGUCUUUGAAUAAUGUGAUUGUGACACAGUUUCUUCUGUGGUUCCAAGGACCUUGAGGCCAUCUCUGUCCCAGGGGAGGCCCAUGUGCCCAACUCCCAUCCUCACCCACCCCUUCUGAGAGCUCUGGUGAUGUCUUGGGAAUCCAGUCAUGGAUAUCCCUGGUCCCCAGUAAGACUGCGGUUUGCUGAAGAACAGAAGAUGGCACAACAGAGUCCUUGGCAGCCUUCUCUCUGAGGUUCUUCAUUUUUCGGUCAAGAGUCAGAAGAUGGUUGGAAUCAUCUUAAAGACCUCCUCACUCUCUCAUGUCUGGUGAUUGAUGCAGACUAUUGGCUGAGACCUUAGCUGGAGCUGUCUGUUGGGACACCUGUACGUGACCUCUCCAUGUGGCCUGGGCUUCCUCACAACAUUGCUGCUGGGUUCCAAGAGCAAGCAUCCCAAGAAACAGAGAAAGGCAGAGGGAGAUCCCAAACCCAGACAUCUGGAGGAGAUCACACGGAGAUGGGGGCAGAGACUGAAGUGACAUGGCCACCAGCCAAGGAACACCUGGAACCUCCAGAAGGUGAAAGUGUCAAGGGAAGAUCCCCAUGUAAAGCUUUUGUACAGAACGCGGCCCUUGCAUCUCCUCGGUUUUAGACUCUGGACUCCACAACUGGGAAAGAAUAAAUUCCUGUCAUUUUAAUCCACUAAGGGUGUGGUAAUUUGUUACCGCAGCUCCAGAAAAUGAAUUCAGAGGGUACUGGCUAAGGGGUACAGGGUUUCUUUUCAGGAUAAUGAAAAUAUUCUAGAAUUGAC